UACGAAGGGGGCUAGCGUUGUUCGGAAUCACUGGGCGUAAAGCGCACGUAGGCGGAUCUUUAAGUCAGGGGUGAAAUCCCGAGGCUCAACCUCGGAACUGCCUUUGAUACUGAAGAUCUUGAGUGCGGGAGAGGUGAGUGGAACUGCGAGUGUAGAGGUGAAAUUCGUAGAUAUUCGCAAGAACACCAGUGGCGAAGGCGGCUCACUGGCCCGAUACUGACGCUGAGGAGCGAAAGCGUGGGGAGCGAACAGG
rnacentral:rRNA from 1 species